rnacentral:lncRNA from 1 species
UUUAAUUCCCUCGUUUCUUGAAACCUUGAAUCAUUGAUUUGUAUUUCUAUUAAGACUCUUCAACUUCAUCAAUGAACUUUCCUCCCUUUUUUACCACCCUACAAAAAGUUAUGAGUUGUUCAAUCUCAUUACACGAUUCCUUAAGAAGAUUAUAACAACCCGUAAUGUAAGUAAGAAUGAUUUGAACCACAACUUUAAUUGACUUUUUUUUUUUAUGGAAGAGAGCUAAUUAAUUUUUCUAUAAUAAAAAAAUUUCCUCUUUAAUCUCCCCACAAAAGUAGAGUAAAAUUAAGACUCCAACACCUUAAUAAAUUUACAUCCAUCCUGAGAUAAAAUAUUGCUAUAUUCAAUCCAUUUCAACUAAAAGAGAUUUGUAAUUAGUGAUGAUUAGCCAUAAUUAAAAAAAUGUACAAAAGUUUCUUAAAAUGUGUUCUAGUAAUUUGUGCUACUAUUCUCUUUACUUGUCCUACAAAAAUCAAUAAUAUAAUCAAAGACAAACAAAUAAGUGAGAAAUCCCAAGAGUAUUUUUUGCUAUCAUAAUAUUCCGAUCCGAGAUUUGAUUAUGAGAAAAGGGAAAAAAAAAACACUCCAACACAAAUAAUAAGGAUACUUUUUACAAAGAUAAAAAUAAUAAGGAUACUUCAUAGUCAAGUUUGAGUUUUCUAUCAAUGUGGACAUAAGGCGUAUUCAAACGAGACAAUAACUUAGGCCAAACAAAAAUAUUUAGUACUAGCGAUUAAGUUUCUUUCUAAAAAAAUCAAAUAAAGUCUAACAUAUUUUUUACUUCUUUUGUCCCUAAUUUAUAUUAAAGUUAUUUAAGACCAAUUCUAAACAUUCUAUUUACCACAUAUUACUUUAUUAGCGAUUAUCUUCUUUCAUUCAUUUAUAUAAUUUCAAUUUAAUAUUGUGGCUAUCAUUACGACAAAUCACAUAUAAAGAUUAAUUGAUCCAAUUAAGUUAUUCAUAAAUCUGAAUAAGUAACUUUGCUAUAAAUAACAAGUUGCUAUUGAUAACAAUUAAUAAUUAAACAAAGAAUAAUAUUAUUUUUUAUUUGUUAUAAAUUGAUUGCAAAUGUGUUAAACAAAAUCGAAUCGUAAAUGACUAAAUAUACACCUAAAAUCUAUACUAUAUAUAGUUAUUUUAUAUCGAGUUUAAACAUUAUACUUACCAUGUGUCACUCUAUUAACGAUUCUCCUCUAUCAUUUGUAUAAUUUAUUUGCCUAUAAAUACUCUGAUUUGAAUUCAAUAUAAUGGCUCAAAUUAUGAAGAAUCUUCUAUAUAGAUUAAUUAAUUUCAAUUAAAUUAUUUACAAAUCAAAGCUAGGUAACGUUGCAAUCAAUAACAAUCAAUAAUAAAAUUAAUUUUUAUUUACUAUGACUAUUUGCAGACCCAUUAAACACAAUUAUUUUGUGCCAACAAUCACGUUUACAAAUAAAAAUAUAUUUAAUUUAAAAAAAUAAAAAAAUGAUCGUAAGUGACUAACGUACAUCUAAAAUUUGAAUAUUAACUAAAUUGUAAACAAACGAUUAAUAAAUUUCUGAAGUUGACUCUGUAUAUAUUUCAAUUCAUUUCAAUUCAUUCCAAUUCAUAAAAUAAAAUUUUUAAUUACAUUUUUUUACAACAAAUUAUAAUUACAACUAUAAAUAUCCACAAAAACAUUAUAUAAAUAUAUAUCAAAAGUUUAGAAAGAUGCCAAAAUAUUAAUUUAAGAUAAAAAGAAUUUUUUAAAUGUAAUACUACAAAAUUAGAAACAUGUACAAAAAAAUGCAUCGAUUAAAUUUCUCAACUCUUAAGCUUUUGCACCCAGGGAAGUAAAGUGGUGAGCAAAAUUUUUAAACUUCAUAGAAUAUUGCAAUCACAAAUAACUUUUUUAUCGCAACGAAAGCAAAAAAAAAAAGAAUAUAUUAACUAAAAAAUGCAUAUUGAAUAGGAUAUAAAAUUAUCUAUAUAUAUAUAUAUAUAUAUAUAUAUAUAUAUAUAUGAUGUUCUUGGCAAUAACUCAAAGGAAGAAAAUUUCAUUACGAAUCUUACAAUUACCAUCUCCCCAUCUUAUCUUUUUGUUCCUUGGUUUUUUUUACUUUCAUGUGUUCUUUUUAUCAGAAAAAAUUAUUAAUGGGAGUGUAGGAUACCCAAAUCUACAUACAUGUAUAAUAUAUUAACUACUUUGGAGACAAACCAGAUGAUUUGAACACUAAGAAACAAUACAGAAAAUAGAAUUACACUUCUUUCUAGCCAAAAACCAAAACCAAGACAAUGUUUUGACAUUAUCAAUCAUAACAACUACAUCAUCAAUGAUGUCCUUUAUUAGAUAAUGUUAUUAUAUAUUAAUAGUAAGGAUUUUUAAACAUUUCUAAUUUCUUGUAUAUAUAUUCAUUGUAACUUUAUUAACUCAAGUUUGAUUCAUUUUAUGUUAUAAAACCUUAGAGGGGUUGUCUUUUUUCUUCCUUUCUUCUUCUUCUUUUUUUUUUUUCAUGUUUGUCAUUGUUAACAUGGUGUGAGAGCUUUGGUUGAUUUUGGAAUCUACUGUAAAGUGGUCCACAACUUAGUAGGGUUUGGGGCCCCUCCCGAUUUGCUCCCUCUAUUUCUGUCCCAAUUCUAUCGCUCUGCUUCUAGCGCAAUUCUGCUCUUUUGUUUUCGGCGUGGUUCUACUCUUUUGUUUUCGACGUGGUUCUGCUCUUCUGUUUGCGACAUGAUUUUAUUUGGUUCCAAAACGACUUUGCUAUUGACAGGUUAUAUAUCCCUACUUUCUGUUGUUUCGGUGAUUGUGUUUGUUUUAUUUUCCUGUGAUUAUUUGUUAAGGUUGGUGUUAAGGAUGACUCUCGUCAAGCUGUUAGUGUCCACCUUAAUGAACAAAAUUACUCUUAUUGAAAUUAUGUGAUGAAAAUUUUUUUGAUUGAAAAAGAUAUGUGGGGUUAUGUUGAUGGAACUUAUGUGAAACCUACAAAUAAAAAGAAUGAAACUAAAUAUGCAAAAGCUUUGAAAACAUGGAAUGUUAGUAAUUAAAAAAUUAUUACUUGAAUUAAUAAUUUUGUUGAACUGUUUAUAUGCAUACAACUAGCAAAAUAUGAUAUUGCUAAAGAGAUUUGGGAUCACUUGAAAAGUUUGUAUGUUCAUACUAACUUUUCAAAAUGAUAUCAGUUGGAAAGUGAUAUUAGGGCCCUUAAGCAUAACAAUAUGACUAUUCAUGAAUUCUAUUCUGCAAUGACUAAUUUAUGGGAUCAAUUGACUCUUACGGAAUCAUCUGAGUUGAAAGCGGUUAAAGCGUACAUUGAUCAGAGAGAUAAGCAACGUCUAGUUUGAUUUCUGAUGAUUUUGAGGGGCUUCGUAGGGGUAUUUUUCAUCGUUCCCCUCUUUCUAAUGUUGAAUAAUUAGUUAGUGAGUUGUUGACAAAAGAGAUCAAACUUAAGACCCACUCCGUUGUGUCAAAAAAUGAAUUCUCUCAACUCCUUCGUCUAUUUUUGUUGCUCAUGUUCAAAAAGAAAAAUCUCAAGGGAGAGUUAGGCUUGGUAAUGGUGAAUAUGCUUUUUGCAAAGAAAAAUGUCAUUGGAAAGCACAUUGUCCUAAAUUGGGGAGAUCCCAUAAGAAGAAUUUGAGGGGGCCAUCGUCCAACGUUGUUGCUUAUGCUCUUCUUACCAUUGGCUCUAGUUCUGGUUAUGUAUACUCAUUUGAGUCUGCUUCCCAAAUAUAUGAUAUUGCAGAGCAACUCCAAAAACUUCUUGCCACUCAAUCACAUGUCAUGUCUGCCUCCUCUACUAGAUGUUUGAACUCCUCUAGUAUAUUAGGUAUAUCUCGUUCCAUAUGAAUUUUUGAUUCUAGAGCAUCUCAUCAUAUGACAUAUGAUGAUAAAUAUUUUGUGUAUGUGAAUCAUGCCUCAUCUGUGUCGGUUAUGACUGUUGAUGGCAUUCAUAUGCCAUUAGCAGGCAUUGGGUAUGUCUCCACACCUAACUUGUCUCUUUCUGAUGCUUAUUAGAUUCCUAAUCUUACUUUGAGUCUUGCUUUUGCUAGUCAACUAUGUGAUUUCAAUUAUUCAUUUAUAUUUUCUUCCACUUCUUGUUGUGUGCAGGAUCCACAUUCUAGGAGGUUGAUUGGGGCAAGUCAUCGACAAGGGGCUUUAUGUUUUGGAUGACUUGCGAGUCCCAAUUACUACAGCCUCAACAACCACUACUAGCUUAUUAUAUACUUUUCGCUUGAAUUCUCCAUAUUCUAUUUUUAUUUAUGGCAUUCUCGGCUUGGACAUGUUUCUACUUCAAGAUUAAAAUAUUUGGCUUCUACUAGAGCUUUGUGGUUGUAAAUUUGCUAAACUUUCAGCUUUAUCGUUUAGUAAAAGUAUUUUUGUUUCAUAUAUGCACAUUUUAAUUUAAUUCACUAUGAUGUUUGGGGGUCCAUGACUCGUUCUCACCAAAGGUGGAUCUAGAUAUUAUGUUUCAUUUAUUGUUGGUUUUAUCUUAUAACACAUCGAUAUGAAUUUUUUUGACAUCUAUCAUAUGUUUCGUGCUACGGUUAAAACUCAACAUAAUGAUGUUAUAAAGUGUUUUCGUUGUGGUGAACAUAAUGAGUUUUGGGGAGAACUAACCCAUAUUGAUAUGUUUGGUCCUAACAACAAUGCUUCUAGUGAUUGUAAUAUUGAGAACUGUAGGACAAAUACUACUACUCCGCUUAAUGACAUCCAUCUUGUCCCCUCGGGUGUCCAACCACCUCAUGCGAUUAUUGAUCCUUCUCGUUACCCCUCUCGUAACCGUAAGUUUACUCAAUUACAUGAUUUUGUCUAUUCCACUUACUCAACUUUGUCUGCUUCUUUCUUAACCUCUAUUUACAGUUUGUCUGAGCCUUCUUCUUGUAAAGAGGUUACUCUUGAUCCUCUUUGGUAGUAGGCUAUGACAGAAGAGCUCUCUGCAUUGCACAAAACAGAUACUUAGGAAUUAGUACCUCUUCUUUCUGGAAAACGUGUUAUUAGGUCUCGUUGGAUAUAGAAGAUCAAAACUAAGUUUGAUGGGCCCGUUGGGGGAUUCUAUCAACAAUAUAGUAUGGAUUAUGUGGAAACUUUUGCUCCUGUAGCCAAAAUGACCACUAUUCGUACUCUUAUUGCAGUUGCAUCUAUUCGUUAAUGACAUAUUUCCCAAAUGGAUGUCAAAAAUGCUUUUUUAAAUAGUGAGCUUCAUGAAGAAGAUUAUAUGGUCCCUCCACAAGGUGUUUCUCAUAAUCAAGAGAAAAUGUGUAAGUUAAAAAAAAUGCUCUUUAUGGUCUUAAACAGGCUCAUCGAGCCUGGUUUGAGAAAUUAUCUACUAUGAUCACUUCUCUUGGUUUUCGCUCUAUUGAUAUGAUUCUGCAUUGUUUAUAAGUUCCACCACUUGUGGUCGUAUUAUCCUUUUUUUGUAUGUUGAUGAUAUGAUUAUUACAAGUGAUGAUGUAUGUGGAAUCAAUGAGUUGAAAUUGUAAUUAGCCAAGAAGUUUGAGAUGAAGGACUUGGGAACUCUUCACUAUUUCUUGGUGAUUGAAAUUGCAUACUUUCCUAGAGGCUACCUUCUUUCUCAAUUCAAGUACAUUACCAACAUUCUUGAUUAGACUCGUCUUUCUAAUACUAGAGCAGUAAAUAUUGCUCUUGACUUGAAUGUGAAGUGUGCUCCAUCGGAUGGUAUUCCUUUACAAAAUCCCAUUUUGUAUUGUACUUUGGUUGGCAGCUUGGUGUAUCUUGCAAUUGCCAGACUUGAUAUUGCUUAUGUUAUUCAUGUUGUUAGUGAGUUUAUUAUCUCUCCCACUGUAAUACAUUUGACAUCGAUUCUUUGUAUUCUUCGUUAUCUUCGAGGAACUUAAUUUCAAAGCCUUCUCUUUCCAUCGUCAUCCUCAUUGGAGUUACGUGCUUAUUCUAAUGUUGAUUGGGCUCGUGACAUUAUAUAUCGUAAAUCCACCACCUGAUUUUGUAUCUUUCUUGGAGACUUUUUUAUUUCAUGAAAGAGUAAGAAACAUGACAUUGUUUGUCGCUUUUCUACAGAAGCUGAGUAUCAUGUUAUGACAUCCACUACUGCUGAAAUAAUUUGGUUGUGUUGACUUUUGUCUGAUUUGGGUGUCUCUCUCUUUGAGCCAACUCUAAUGCACUGCAAUAACAAGAGUGCUAUUCAAAUUACUCAUAACUCGGUCUUUCAUGAACAUACCAAACAAAUUGAGAUUGAUUGUCAUCUUACUCGUCAUCAUCUUCAGCAUUGAACCAUUACUCUACCGUUUGUCUUUUCUUCCUUACAGAUUGUUGGUUUGUUCACAAAGAUGCAUUCAAUUAAAUAUUUUUAUUUUUUAGUUGACAAACUAUUGAUGCUAUGUGUUAAUGCAUAAUGAGUUUGUUAUAUUAUGUUAUUAUAUACUAGUAGUAAGGGUAUUUUAGACAUUUAAGUUCUCUUGUAUAGGUACUCUGCUCUUCGCUCUUUCCUCUACUCCACUCCAGAGCAAUGCCAUGACUCCACUCCAGAGCAAUGCCAUGACUCGGUCGAGAGCCUUCCAUGUGGAUUCCUUCAAAGAGAAAUAUAGUGUGUAUUCUCGGCAUCAAUGCAAUUUCCCGGUCUGGGAACAAGAACAAUUCUUGGUCCUACCAAACCAUGCCAUGAACAGUACAACAAGAGAAGGGGAUAUUGAAACUAAGACUCAUUACGUCUAUUGCUCUACCUUCCUCCAACAGAAAAAAUGGCAUCAUUUAUUCCUAUUCCGACAAAACUAGUUGCUGAUCCAACCUCCCCUCGGGUCUAUGCCCUCGAUGUUUUAACAUCGGCGAUUGAAAGAGAGUAGGAGCGCAUUCUCUCCAUCUCAGUUGGAAAGUCUAUCGCUCUAAGCAACAAUUCCUUGGUCUCACCCUCUAAUGAUAAAUCAAGAGUUCCGGCCAGGCUAUGAUUCCAUCAACAAACCCAAUUCGAUAUAAAAGCUUAGCUUCUAUUACAAAAAUUUAUUUUGAAAAGAGCUAUCCUAGAGAUUGACAGGUCUCCCCAACUAUGUUUUUCACUCGAAAACCGAAAGCAUAAAGAUGAGCCUUGGGCCCCCUUUCCUAAGAACAGAAGGAGCGUUUAGAUAAUGUACCUUUAGGUGCAUGCAGGAGCAAGGACGAAAGGAGAACAAGUCACAUGAGAAGCGUUGAAGAAGUAGUAGUUUAAGCCAUUGAUCCUGCAGCUUCAAAAAGUAAGCACCAACAGACAGAGGUAGAUACAGAGCCAUAGGAAAACCUUU